ACCUCUGUGGUGUAGUGGUAGCACGCGUCCCCGAUAUGGAGAAAACGCGGGCUUGACUCCCGUCUGAGAUC